rnacentral:rRNA from 1 species
CGGCAACAGCUCAAAUUUGAAAGCUCCCCACCGGGCGCAUUGUAAUUUGUAGAGGAUGCUUUGGAGACGUGCCUGGUCUAAGUCCAUUGGAACAUGGCGUCGCAGAGGGUGAGAGUCCCGUACGCGGCCGGGUGCCUAUCCGUGUAAAGCUCCUUCGAC